rnacentral:lncRNA from 1 species
UUGGUAGGUCACAGGCUCAUCUUGAUCCAUGAGUAAUACAUCACCUUGAUCAAUUAUGAGAUAUCCAUAUCUCUCAGGUUGGUGACGUAUCCUGCUUGACCUACGCUGGUCUUGUUCUACUUGAGCAGGUUGCUCUUCCACAACUACUUGUGUUUCCUGUUCUAAUUCCUCCAUAGGUGUAUCGAUGCUUUGUGAUUCUUGAAUUUCU